rnacentral:lncRNA from 1 species
AGCCCACCCUCAAAGACUGGUUCUCGAACACUAAGCCCAGCCAUUUCUCACUAGAUAGAAAACUUAAACCACCAAAGGAGAGUUCUGUGUGACCAAAAUUAUGUUUUGUAGUCAACUUUUUCAAGUGGAGGAAUUACCAAAGAGAAACACAUACCAAAAGUUAAUUUAACAAGAAUUCCAGACUCAGAGGACAAAAAUGAGAUUGAAGGAGGGGUCAAGAUUCUGUUUCCUGAGAAUAUUCAUUAAGCAAUUGCUAGGCUUGCUUGCUGAACAGUGUAAUUUUUCAUUCUAGUUAACUUCCUUUGAGAAGUUCUGAAAUACUAGGACCUUACUUGUUCUCACUGGCCAUAGAAUUACAUGUUAAGCAAAGCCCAAGAUUUAGUAACGUACAAAUCAUUCUGGCUUCCCGCUACUGUGAGAAACUACACUCAGAGUUGCCCAAGCCCAGAAUCUGGUACUCUGCAUGACAAAUCGGCAAAUAAACCUGCCACCUGGAAUCUGAAUUUUGGAACUACUACUAUAAACGGCCAUAUACACAUCAUAACCCA